UUUAAAUGGUAAUUUUGUUUAUUUAUUUAUUUAUAAGCAGCUGAGUGAAAAUAAUGCAAAUUUUUUGAAAAAAAUUGCAGGGUAUGGUAUGUUGUAGCUGCUGUAGCAUUGAAGUUGAUAAUAAUGACCAGGAAAGGCCUAAUCCAACCCAGUCAUUUUGUAAAAGAAGAAAAAAUAUAAUAAUUAGAAUAACCCUCAUAGUUGUUGUGGUAAUAAUGAUUACUGCGGGGAUUACAGCUGCACUAAUUAAUUUAGUUAAUAAAUAGGCUGGACAAUUGAUUUAUUCGCUUCCUCAAGGGACUAAAGCAACAAAAAAUAUAUAUAUUAUUAAUUUCUGUACAUCGAAGAAGAUCUAUGUCAAAAUUACAUUAAUUUAAGAUAAAAAUACAAACUUUACUUUUUAUAAAUAAAUAUGAUAAUUAUUAAAAGGCAAAUUGAUAAAACGAACGACACCGCGAUAAAAACCACUAGGCCUAUUAUGAUAAUAAGCCUAUAAUAAUCAUUUUUUCUUUCCUUAGAAUUUGACCUGUAAAUACAAAUUUUAUAAUGAA